rnacentral:rRNA from 1 species
AUUGAACGCUGGCGGCACGCCUAACACAUGCAAGUCGAGCGGCAGCGAGACUAGUAGCAAUACUAGUUGUCGGCGAGCGGCGGACGGGUGAGUAACACGUAGGAAUCUGCCCUUAAGCGGGGGAUAACCAAGGGAAACUUUGGCUAAUACCGCAUAAUCUCGAGAGAGCAAAGCUGCCCGCAAGGGUGGCACUUGAGGAGGAGCCUGCGUCCGAUUAGCUAGUUGGUGGGGUAAUGGCCUACCAAGGCGAUGAUCGGUAACUGGUCUGAGAGGACGACCAGUCACACUGGGACUGAGACACGGCCCAGACUCCUACGGGAGGCAGCAGUGGGGAAUAUUGGACAAUGGGGGCAACCCUGAUCCAGCGAUGCCGCGUGAGUGAAGAAGGCCUUCGGGUCGUAAAGCUCUUUAGGUUGGGAAGAAGUGUAUUGGCUGAAUAAUCCAGUACAUUGACGGUACCGACAGAAUAAGCACCGGCAAACUUCGUGCCAGCAGCCGCGGUAACAC